CGUAGUCAACCUGCCCUGGAGACAAGGACAACCCCGGGAAACUGGGAUUAAUCCUUGAUAGGUCAUCUCAUCUGGAAGGAGAGAUGGCUUAAAGGGGUACGCGGGCUUCUUCCGCGAAUUCGCUCCAGGAUGGGACUGCGUCCGAUCAGGCUGUUGGCGGGGUAAUGGCCCACCAAACCUGUAACCGGUACGGGCCUUGAGAGAGGUGGCCCGGAGAUGGACACUGAGAGAAGGGUCCAGGUCCUACGGGGCGCAGCAGGCGCGAAACCUUCGCAAUGCGCGAAAGCGUGACGAGGUUAAUCCGAGUGACUUCCGCUGAGGAGGUCUUUUGUCAGCUGUAAAUAGGCAGGCGAAUAAGGGGAGGGCAAGCCUGGUGUCAGCCGCCGCGGUAAUACCAGCUCCUCGAGUGGUCGGGGCGAUUAUUGGGCCUAAAGCAUCCGUAGCCGGUUCCGUAGGUCCUCUGUUAAAUCCAACCGCUUAACGGUUGACAUGCAGAGGAUACCGCGGGACUAGGAGGCGGGAGAGGCGGACGGUACUCCGCGUGUAGGGGUAAAAUCCUUUGAUCCGCGGAAGACCACCAGUGGCGAAGGCGGUCCGCCAGAACGCGCUCGACGGUGAGGGAUGAAAGCUGGGGGAGCGAACCGGAUUAGAUACCCGGGUAGUCCCAGCCGU
rnacentral:rRNA from 1 species